GAACUGAAACAUCUAAGUACCCAUAGGAAGAGAAAGAAAAUUCGAUUCCCUGAGUAGCGGCGAGCGAAAAGGGAACAGCCCAAACCAAGAAGCUUGCUUCUUGGGGUUGUAGGACUGGACAUUUGAGUUACCAAGAAACGAAGUAGUUGAAUGAUUUGGGAAGAUCAGCCAGAGAAGGUGAUAGCCCUGUAAGCGAAACUUCGUUUCCUCAGCCCAGUAUCCUGAGUACGGCGGAACACGUGAAACUCCGUCGGAAUCCGGGAGGACCAUCUCCCAAGGCUAAAUACUCCCUAGUGACCGAUAGUGAACCAGUACCGUGAGGGAAAGGUGAAAAGCACCCCGGGAGGGGAGUGAAAUAGUUCCUGAAACCAUGUGCCUACAAGUAGUCAGAGCCCGUUAAUGGGUGAUGGCGUGCCUUUUGUAGAAUGAACCGGCGAGUUACGUUAGCGUGCGAGGUUAAGGCGCAAAGGCCGGAGCCGUAGCGAAAGCGAGUCUGAAUAGGGCGAAUGAGUAUGUUGACGUAGACCCGAAACCAGGUGACCUACCCAUGUCCAGGUUGAAGGUGCGGUAAGACGCACUGGAGGACCGAACCCGUGUAUGUUGAAAAAUGCUGGGAUGAGGUGUGGGUAGAGGUGAAAUUCCAAACGAACUUGGAGAUAGCUGGUUCUCUCCGAAAUAGCUUUAGGGCUAGCCUCGGAGUUAAGGAUCGUGGAGGUAGAGCACUGUUUGGACUAGGGGCCCGUCUUGGGUUACUGAAUUCAGAUAAACUCCGAAUGCCACAGAUCUAUAUCCGGGAGUCAGACUGCGAGUGAUAAGAUCCGUAGUCGAAAGGGAAACAGCCCAGACCACCGAUUAAGGUCCCUAAAUAUGUGUUAAGUGGAAAAGGAUGUGGAAUUGCACAGACAACUAGGAUGUUGGCUUAGAAGCAG
rnacentral:rRNA from 2 species